AACCAUAGAAACCUGCGGAGUACCUGCGGAAGGAUCAUUAACAAUUGUCCAUAGUGGAUAAUUUAUCCAUAUCCACCUUGUGUGAAUCAUUGGAAUGUUUGUUGGCAGGUUUUAGACUCUCUCUGAGAGAGCUGUGGGUUGGUAUUGUUCUUUCAAUGCUUGACCGGCCUGCCAAUUUUAUUUUAUAUGUAAACUUGUCUAAAAUACUUUUGGCCUGAAAUAAACAAAUUUGUAAUAAAU
rnacentral:misc_RNA from 1 species